GGGAUGCGAGCUACCAUGCAGUCGAGCGGAACGAAGAGGUGCUUGCACCUUUGGCGUCGAGCGGCGGACGGGUGAGUAAUGCUUGGGAAUAUGCCUUAUGGUGGGGGACAACAGUUGGAAACGACUGCUAAUACCGCAUGAUGUCUACGGACCAAAGUGGGGGACCUUCGGGCCUCACGCCAUAAGAUUAGCCCAAGUGGGAUUAGCUAGUUGGUGAGGUAAUGGCUCACCAAGGCGACGAUCCCUAGCUGGUUUGAGAGGAUGAUCAGCCACACUGGGACUGAGACACGGCCCAGACUCCUACGGGAGGCAGCAGUGGGGAAUAUUGCACAAUGGGCGCAAGCCUGAUGCAGCCAUGCCGCGUGUGUGAAGAAGGCCUUCGGGUUGUAAAGCACUUUCAGUAAGGAGGAAAGGUUAAGUGUUAAUAGCACUUAGCUGUGACGUUACUUACAGAAGAAGCACCGGCUAACUCCGUGCCAGCAGCCGCGGUAAUACGGAGGGUGCGAGCGUUAAUCGGAAUUACUGGGCGUAAAGCGUACGCAGGCGGUUUGUUAAGCGAGAUGUGAAAGCCCCGGGCUCAACCUGGGAACUGCAUUUCGAACUGGCAAACUAGAGUGUGAUAGAGGGUGGUAGAAUUUCAGGUGUAGCGGUGAAAUGCGUAGAGAUCUGAAGGAAUACCGAUGGCGAAGGCAGCCACCUGGGUCAACACUGACGCUCAUGUACGAAAGCGUGGGGAGCAACAGGAUUAGAUACCCUGGUAGUCCACGCCGUAAACGAUGUCUACUAGAAGCUCGGGUCUUCGGACUUGUUUUUCAAAGCUAACGCAUUAAGUAGACCGCCUGGGGAGUACGGCCGCAAGGUUAAAACUCAAAUGAAUUGACGGGGGCCCGCACAAGCGGUGGAGCAUGUGGUUUAAUUCGAUGCAACGCGAAGAACCUUACCUACACUUGACAUACAGAGAACUUACCAGAGAUGGUUUGGUGCCUUCGGGAACUCUGAUACAGGUGCUGCAUGGCUGUCGUCAGCUCGUGUUGUGAGAUGUUGGUUAAGUCCCGCAACGAGCGCAACCCCUAUCCUUAGUGCCAGCGAUUCGGUCGGGAACUCUAAGGAGACUGCCGGUGAUAAACCCGGAGGAA
rnacentral:rRNA from 1 species